UAAUUUGAUUCGUCUCUUUACAAUCAUCAAUUAAUGUCCAUUAUUACAAGUCAAUAUAAUGGAUAUAGUUAUAUAUAUGUAUAAUACUAAACUAUUUUCAAUGAGAGAUUUCUACUAUAAAUUGUUCCAAUUCAUGUAUACCAAAUUACCCAUCUUCCAUCAAUUUCAUUAUUAAUUGCUAAUUAAAAAUUAAAAUCAAAAUAUGUAUUAGGUAUUUUGGAAGAAAAAUUGCUCAUCUUGGGAAAUUAGAAAUUUUUUACCAAUUUUGUUUGUUUUUUUUUUGAAAAAAAGUAAAUUUAGUCCAAAAAGGAAAAGAAGUUAUAAUUAAUGUGAAAAAAUAUUGUAAAUUUUAAUCUUGAGGCUAGAGUUGUUUUUUUAUACGAGCAGGGGAAAAAUCACAAGUUGUAAAGCAUCAGUUUCUUGGGAACCAUCUUGAGAAUUUUAUAAAGGUUUCUCUCGGAAUUAAAAAAUAUUCCCAAAGGUAAGAAAAUAUUUUCGAAACAAAAAAGAUGAACGGAAUUUACAGAAAAAAAAUUAAAAAUAAUAAUAAUAAAUUUUCUUUUUUCGUUUCAGGGUGAAAAAUAAUAAAUUUUUUAUAUCGAAGCACUGAAAUGGUAAAAGUUUGAACAAUAAAAUAAAUAUUCGAUAUUCUACAUUUUUCUAAGAGAUUAAUAUCGAAAUUAAUUCUUUCGGAAUUAAAAAAUAUUUUCAAAGAGACAGAAACUAAAAUUUUGAUUACGAAAGAAUAAAAUAAAUAUAAAUCCGAUUUACUACGAUUUUAUAAAAAUGACUGAUUCAUGAGCUGAAAAAAUGGUAUCGAAGUUAAUUCUCUUGUAAUUAACAAAUAUUUCCAGAGGGGCAAAACUACUAAAUUUUUUAUUUCGAAGCAACAAAAUCAAACACAGGAUUUCCACAGGUCAAGGAAGUGAGGGAAUUCAGGAAAAAGUCACGGAUUUUUAUUAAAAAUACUGGAAAAAUAUUAAAUUUUAAGAAUUCAUAACUAAAAAGAAAAAAAUUAACAAAAGAAUUUAAUUAUUUAAAGAAAAAAUUGA